UAGGUGGGUAAACGAUCGGCGCGAUUAGUCUGCAGCCGGAGAUCGGCAGAGGAACCGCGAGCAACCUUUAUGCCGACCGCGCCUCUUUUUUUCUUCACUAGAUCUACGCAGUUGUUGGUCCACAUCAAGCCGGCAGUGUAAGCGCGAAGGUAAAUACGAUGAAGGCAUGGCUUGGUGGCCUCCAGAACCUUUUACAGCCCACGUGAUCAAAUAGCUUGCGCGCGCAUUUCGGCCACGGAAGUGUUGUUGUUCCCCAGUGGUUCUCUAACCUGUAAGCAACUCAGAAAGUUUAUUAAAACGGUUUCCCAGCAUCAAAAUGUCUGGUUGUUGCGUUUGGUUGCACUAAUAUAAUAUACUAAUAUACGUAUAUAUGUAUCUGGCCUGAUAAACUUGACUUACUGUUCACUCCAAUAAUUUCGUUUUUCUGUAUUUUCUAGUGACACCGAAUAAUAACGAAGGCCUGUGUGCUUUGCAGCAGCCUCCACGUCACCCUCUUCCAGUGCUCCGUCAGAGGACUAACGAUAGUAAGAUAUUUUACAUGUAAUGUAUGAAUCUGCACUUUUUACUCAGAACAUCAUACUGAGGUAGUAAAACAAUACAUUUCAGAAUAAUUCAAUAGCAAAUGAAUUAGGGCCAGAUUUUAAAAUCAAGCUGGAUCUGGGCCAUUUGUGUUUUUUCCAUUUAAGUGAUUACAUCAGUGAAUGAGGACCUUCUUCGUACUGAAUGUAAGUUUCCGUUAAAUAUGUGAUGCAUAGACCCUUUUACAGCCCACGUGAUCAAAUAGUUUGUGCGCGCAUUUCGGCAACGGAAGUGUUGUUGUUCGCCAGUUGUUCUAACGUGUUAGCAACUCAGAAAGUUUAUUAAAACGGUUUCCCAGCAUCAAAAUGUCUGGUUGUUGCGUUUGGUUGCACUAAUAUAAUAUACUAAUAUACGUAUAUAUGUAUCUGGCCACUUUAUAUUUGGCCAUCUGCUAAUGUCUUCUAUCCACUCCACUAUAGUACACGGAUCUGGUAGAUGUGUUGAAAAAGUUGAUAAGUCAACUUUUUAAAAUAACUUUGUCUGUGUUACUUCACUGCUGAUUCUUACCAUACUUCCGUUGCCAAACUGCGUGCACCUACGUUGCCACAUCAUCAUUGUGUACAAAGAGUAAAAGGGUCUAUAAAGACUCAUACAAAAUACUCCAAAGUUUUUUCAAGAGGACAUCACCCAACCCAUCUAAAGGAUGAAAACAAUACUCUUGUUGAAUACUACAUGAGACAAACCAUCCUGACUUAGAUCACCAUCACCACCAUCAUCCCCUGCAUCGUGCCCUUCAUCAGACACCCAAAAUGCACCACAAACAUCACAGGCGAAAAAGAAGAAAACGCACAACAAAUCUUCCAAAAAACCCUCCUCCCCCUUCCCUCCUACCUAUGGCU